GAUGAACGCUGACAGAAUGCUUAACACAUGCAAGUCAACCUGGUGGCGGACGGGUGAGUAACGAGUAUAGAACUUGCCUCACAGCUCGUGACAAAAUGUGGAAACGAAGGCUAAUACCUAAUACUGUGCGAGAGCUUUGCGUCCCAUUAGCUAGUUGGAGGGGUAACGGCCCACCAAGGCGAUGAUGGGUAGCCGGCCUGAGAGGGUGAUCGGCCAAAAUGGGACUUAGACACGGGCCUUACUCCUACGGGAGGCAGCAGUGGGGAAUAUUGGACAAUGGACCAAAGUCUGAUCCAGCAAUUCUGUGUGAACGAUGAAGUUUUUCGGAAUGUAAAGAACUUUCAGUUGGGAGGUGUUAAUACCAUCGCCGAUUGACGUACCGACAGACGAAGCACCGGCUAACUCCGUGCCAGCAGCCGCGGUAAUUC
rnacentral:rRNA from 1 species